rnacentral:rRNA from 1 species
UACGGAGGGUGCGAGCGUUAAUCGGAAUUACUGGGCGUAAAGCGUGCGUAGGCGGUAUGUUAAGUUAGAUGUGAAAGCCCCGGGCUUAACCUGGGAACGGCAUUUAAAACUGGCAUGCUAGAGUUAGGUAGAGGGGAGUGGAAUUUCAGGUGUAGCGGUGAAAUGCGUAGAUAUCUGAAGGAACACCAGUGGCGAAGGCGGCUCCCUGGACCCAAACUGACGCUGAGGUACGAAAGCGUGGGUAGCAAACAGG